UACGAAGGGGGCUAGCGUUGCUCGGAAUCACUGGGCGUAAAGGGUGCGUAGGCGGGUCUUUAAGUCAGGGGUGAAAUCCUGGAGCUCAACUCCAGAACUGCCUUCGAUACUGAGGAUCUUGAGUUCGGGAGAGGUGAGUGGAACUGCGAGUGUAGAGGUGAAAUUCGUAGAUAUUCGCAAGAACACCGGUGGCGAAGGCGGCUCACUGGCCCGAUACUGACGCUGAGGCACGAAAGCGUGGGGAGCAAACAGG
rnacentral:rRNA from 1 species